UAGGGAAUCUUGCGCAAUGGGCGAAAGCCUGACGCAGCCAUGCCGCGUGUAUGAUGAAGGUCUUAGGAUUGUAAAAUACUUUCACCGGGGAAGAUAAUGACGGUACCCGGAGAAGAAGCCCCGGCUAACUUCGUGCCAGCAGCCGCGGUAAUACGAAGGGGGCUAGCGUUGCUCGGAAUUACUGGGCGUAAAGGGCGCGUAGGCGGAUACUUAAGUUGGGGGUGAAAGCCCGGGGCUCAACCUCGGAAUUGCCUUCAAUACUGGGUAUCUUGAGUUCGGGAGAGGUGAGUGGAAUGCCGAGUGUAGAGGUGAAAUUCGUAGAUAUUCGGCGGAACACCAGUGGCGAAGGCGACUCACUGGCCCGAUACUGACGCUGAGGCGCGAAAGCGUGGGGAGCAAACA
rnacentral:rRNA from 1 species